UACGUAGGGUGCUAGCGUUGUCCGGAUUUAUUGGGCGUAAAGGGCUCGUAGGCGGCAUGUCGCGUCGGGAGUGAAAGCCCGCUGCUUAACGGCGGGUUGGCUUCCGGUACGGGCAUCGCUGGAGUGCGGCAGGGGAGACUGGAAUUCCUGGUGUAGCGGUGGAAUGCGCAGAUAUCAGGAGGAACACCGGUGGCGAAGGCGGGUCUCUGGGCCGUUACUGACGCUGAGGAGCGAAAGCGUGGGGAGCGAACAGG
rnacentral:rRNA from 1 species